rnacentral:rRNA from 1 species
GACGAACGCUGGCGGCGUGCUUAACACAUGCAAGUCGAACGGAAAGGCCCUGCUUUUGUGGGGUGCUCGAGUGGCGAACGGGUGAGUAACACGUGAGUAACCUGCCCUUGACUUUGGGAUAACUUCAGGAAACUGGGGCUAAUACCGGAUAGGAGCUCCUGCUGCAUGGUGGGGGUUGGAAAGUUUCGGCGGUGGGGGAUGGAGUCGCGGCUUAUCAGCUGGUUGUUGGGGUAGUGGCUUACCAAGGCUUUGACGGGUAGCCGGCCUGAGAGGGUGAACGGCCACAUUGGGACUGAGAUACGGCCCAGACUCCUACGGGAGGCAGCAGGGGGGAAUAUUGCACAAUGGGCGGAAGCCUGAUGCAGCAACGCCGCGUGCGGGAUGACGGCCUUCGGGUUGUAAACCGCUUUCGCCUGUGACGAAGCGUGAGUGACGGUAAUGGGUAAAGAAGCACCGGCUAACUACGUG